UGCCGGUAAUAAACCGGAGGAAGGUGGGGAUGACGUCAAAUCAUCAUGCCCCUUAUGACCUGGGCUACACACGUGCUACAAUGGCUGGUACAACGAGUCGCAAGCCGGUGACGGCAAGCUAAUCUCUUAAAGCCAGUCUCAGUUCGGAUUGUAGGCUGCAACUCGCCUACAUGAAGUCGGAAUCGCUAGUAAUCGCGGAUCAGCACGCCGCGGUGAAUACGUUCCCGGGCCUUGUACACACCGCCCGUCACACCACGAGAGUUUGUAACACCCGAAGUCGGUGAGGUAACCGUAAGGAGCCAGCCGCCUAAGGUGGGAUAGAUGAUUGGGGUGAAGUCGUAACAAGGUAGCCGUAUCGGAAGGUGCGGCUGGAUCACCUCCUUUCUAAGGA
rnacentral:rRNA from 1 species